AUGAUUGCAGGGAAGCCCGUGUGGGGAUCAGAGCAAAAUGUGGUUUUCUUCAACAUCCUCACCAACAACUCACAGUCUAAUUGCAUCAACACUGGCAGCAUUUACAUAGUCAAAGUUCCAAAUUUCAGUGAGAAUUUUGAGGAUUAUUUCCACUGCCUGAGCAGACGUCACCUCCUCUGUGGCUCUGUCCCGUUUCAGGAUGAGGACGGGAAGGCUCCGCUGAGACACCAACCCCCGGUCCGGGGCUUGAGAAGCUGCUCUGGUUUCCACAGCUCACGCAUUUCCAGCUACUUCCUGCCACGUGACCAGAGGCCCAGGUCCCCCAGAUUCCCGAGGAGGCUGAGCCAGGCCGCUCCUCUUCCCGCCGUGCGGAUCUGGAUAGAGCAGGCACAUCCGUUCUGCAGGGAGCUGCGGCACACAGACCCGCCGCGGCAACCCGAUAACGUCCAUUUCACUGUACAGAAUCGUGACCCAGGAAAACGAGUGGUCCCCAGAGAAAAGAAUAUAAAGCUAAAAUCAGCAGACACGAAACAUCUCUUAAGUGCUGUCAACAUUUGUAAUUUACAAUUACCACGUUUGUUUGAUAUUGGAAAAGUGCAAAAGACACAAGCAACAUGGGGAGGACUUGGGAUCCAGCAGAAAACCACCUCGCUACCUGCAGCAAAGAGGAGACGAGGCCCGACACAGCACUGCUUAAGGACACCAAGAUUUUUGGAUCACUUGUUACAGCAGCAUGACAUGCACCUCCAGACAUUUUGAAGCAUUUGACUAUGACACUGUUAUGCCUUGUAUCUACAUGUCCUACAUCUGAAGCCUGAUGUGGUCAUAGGUGGGGCUUUUCAGAGGCGGC
rnacentral:lncRNA from 1 species